rnacentral:tRNA from 1 species
GAGGAUGUAGCCCAGUUGGUCAGAGUGCCUGCCUCACAUACACAGGCCCUGGGUUCAAUUCCCAGCACCUCA